CUUGCUUCUCUUGAGAGCGGCGGACGGGUGAGUAAUGCCUAGGAAUCUGCCUGGUAGUGGGGGAUAACGUCCGGAAACGGACGCUAAUACCGCAUACGUCCUACGGGAGAAAGCAGGGGACCUUCGGGCCUUGCGCUAUCAGAUGAGCCUAGGUCGGAUUAGCUAGUUGGUGGGGUAAUGGCUCACCAAGGCGACGAUCCGUAACUGGUCUGAGAGGAUGAUCAGUCACACUGGAACUGAGACACGGUCCAGACUCCUACGGGAGGCAGCAGUGGGGAAUAUUGGACAAUGGGCGAAAGCCUGAUCCAGCCAUGCCGCGUGUGUGAAGAAGGUCUUCGGAUUGUAAAGCACUUUAAGUUGGGAGGAAGGGCAGUAAAUUAAUACUUUGCUGUUUUGACGUUACCGACAGAAUAAGCACCGGCUAACUCUGUGCCAGCAGCCGCGGUAAUACAGAGGGUGCAAGCGUUAAUCGGAAUUACUGGGCGUAAAGCGCGCGUAGGUGGUUCGUUAAGUUGGAUGUGAAAUCCCCGGGCUCAACCUGGGGAACUGCAUUCAAAACUGACGAGCUAGAGUAUGGUAGAGGGUGGUGGAAUUUCCUGUGUAGCGGUGAAAUGCGUAGAUAUAGGAAGGAACACCAGUGGCGAA
rnacentral:rRNA from 1 species